rfam:Daucus carota subsp. sativus cultivar DH1 chromosome 3, whole genome shotgun sequence.
AUUUGGCAGUGAUGAUUGUAAACACAGCUUUAAAUGCCAGUUCUGCUUCAGAAAAUUCUUGAUUGAUAAAGCUGAAUUGAUCUGAGCCUAAU